AUCCUGGCUCAGGACGAACGCUGGCGGCGUGCCUAAUACAUGCAAGUCGAGCGGACCAAAGGGAGCUUGCUCCUGGAGGUUAGCGGCGAACGGGUGAGUAACACGUGGGCAACCUGCCUGUAAGACUGGGAUAACAUCGAGAAAUCGGUGCUAAUACCGGAUAAUAAAAAGAACUGCAUGGUUCUUUUUUGAAAGAUGGUUUCGGCUAUCACUUACAGAUGGGCCCGCGGCGCAUUAGCUAGUUGGUGAGGUAACGGCUCACCAAGGCGACGAUGCGUAGCCGACCUGAGAGGGUGAUCGGCCACACUGGGACUGAGACACGGCCCAGACUCCUACGGGAGGCAGUAGUAGGGAAUCUUCCGCAAUGGACGAAAGUCUGACGGAGCAACGCCGCGUGAGUGAUGAAGGUUUUCGGAUCGUAAAACUCUGUUGUUAGGGAAGAACAAGUGCCGUUCGAAAGGGCGGCACCUUGACGGUACCUAACGAGAAAGCCACGGCUAACUACGUG
rnacentral:rRNA from 1 species